GGGGGCGUAAAGGCUUCGACGGGGAUCUUGAAGCAGAAUAAGCGAGCAGCGUUGCGGACACGCUUUAAACGCCGUAACCUUAAAAAUAAACGACAACAAUACUGUUGCCUACGCAGCCUAAUUAGGCUGCCGUUCCUUGGCCGGGAGUACCGCGGCCUGUCAAGGGGCGUCGAUUUAGCGGUGAACGUGAACCGGAUGUUUGCUUUGGCGUCGGUCAUGAAUUAAAAGCUAUAUACACCGUGAGCCUGCCUGCCGGCGCACGGAUGUAUGAAUUCUAAAAGACAGGAUGCGCUCGGAGAAGGUUGUGUGAAUAGGUUUUCGGACAGGGGUUCAAUUCCCCUCGCCUCCACCA
rnacentral:tmRNA from 1 species